UACGAAGGUCCCAAGCGUUGUUCAGAAUCACUGGGCGUAAAGGGAGCGUAGGCGGCGUGGUAAGUCAGAUGUGAAAUCCCGGGGCUCAACCCCGGAACUGCAUCCGAUACUGCCAUGCUAGAGGAUUGGAGAGGUAGCUGGAAUUCUUGGUGUAGCAGUGAAAUGCGUAGAUAUCGUCAAGAACACCGAUAGUGUAGACAGCUUACUAAGCUUUAACUGACGCUGAGGCACGAAAGUGUGGGGAUCAAACAGG
rnacentral:rRNA from 1 species